AGUACAAUCUAAACCUCUUAACGAGGAACAAUUGGAGGGCAAGUCUAGUGCCAGCAGCCGCGGUAAUUCCAGCUCCAAUAGCGUAUAUUAAAGUUGUUGCAGUUAAAAAGCUCGUAGUCGAACUUUGGGCUCGGCCGGGUGGUCCGCUGCUUCGGUGGCGAGUACUGCCUUCUUAGGCCGGGCCUUUCCUCCUGGGGAGCCGCGGCGGGUUGCUUUCGGGCGGCCUGCCGCGGGGAGCCAGGACGUUUACCUUGAAAAAAUUAGAGUGUUCAAAGCAGGCGUACGCUUGCAUAGAUAGCAUGGAAUAAUGGAAUAGGACCUGUGGUUCUGUUUUGUUGGUUUCUGGAACCGCGGUAAUGAUUAAUAGGGACAGUUGGGGGCAUUUGUAUCUCGUAGCUAGAGGUGAAAUUCUUGGAUUUACGAGCGACAAACCUAUGCGAAAGCAUCUGCCAAGGAUGUUUUCAUUGAUCAAGAACGAAAGUUAGGGGAUCGAAGACGAUUAGAUACCGUCGUAGUCUUAACCAUAAACGAUGCCGACUAGGGAUUGGGCGAUGUUGUUGUGACUCGCCCAGCACCUUCAGAGAAAUCAAAGUGUUUGGGUUCCGGGGGGAGUAUUGUCGCAAGGCCGAAACUUAAAGGAAUUGACGGAAGGGCACCACCAGGAGUGGAGCCUGCGGCUUAAUUUGACCCAACACGGGAAAACUCACCAGGUCCAGACAUAAUGAGGAUUGACAGAUUGAGAGCUCUUUCUUGAUUCUAUGGGUGGUGGUGCAUGGCCGUUCUUAGUUGGUGGAGUGAUUUGUCUGCUUAAUUGCGAUAACGAACGAGACCUUAACCUGCUAACUAGCGACGCAAACCUUGGUUUGUGGCCCGCUUCUUAGAGGGACUGUCGGCGUUUAGCCGACGGAAGUUUGAGGCAAUAACAGGUCUGUGAUGCCCUUAGAUGUCCUGGGCCGCACGCGCGCUACACUGAUGAAGCCAGCGAGUAUACAACCUUGGCCGGAAGGUCCGGGUAAUCUUGUUAAACUUCAUCGUGCUGGGGAUAGUCCAUUGCAAUUAUUGGACUUGAACGAGGAAUUCCUAGUAAGUACGAGUCAUCAGCUCGUGCUGAUUUCGUCCCUGCCCUUUGUACACACCGCCCGUCGCUACUACCGAUUGAAUGGCUUAGUGAGACCUUCGGAUUGGCAUUUGGCUGCUGGCAACGGCGGCCGGACGCUGAAAAGUUGGUCAAAUUUGGUCAUUUAGAGGAAGUAAAAGUC
rnacentral:rRNA from 1 species